AGACUAGGCUAGCCUCGAACUCACAG
rnacentral:piRNA from 1 species